rnacentral:rRNA from 1 species
GACUACUGGGGUAUCUAAUCCCGUUCGCUCCCCACGCUUUCGCUCCUCAGUGUCAGGUAAUGUCCAGAGGACUGUCUUCACCAUUGGCGUUCCUUACAAUAUCUACGCAUUUCACUGCUACACUGUAAGUUCCAUCCUCCCCUACAUACCUCUAGAUUUCCAGUUUUGGAUACAGUUUCCCGAUUGAGUCGGGAUAUUUAAUAUCCAACUUAAAAACCCACCUACGAGCUCUUUACGCCCAAUAAAUCCGGAUAACGUUUGCACCCUACGUAUUACCGCGGCUGCUGGCACGUAGUUAGCCGGUGCUUAUUCAUCUGGUACCUUCAAGAUUAUUCCCAGAUAAAAGAAGUUUACGAUCCGAAAACCUUCAUCCUUCACGCAGUGUUGCUGCAUCAGACUUUCGUCCAUUGUGCAAAAUUCCCCACUGCUGCCUCCCGUAGG